UACGGGGGGGGCAAGCGUUGUUCGGAAUUACUGGGCGUAAAGGCUCGUAGGCGGCCAACUAAGUCAGACGUGAAAUCCCUCGGCUUAACCGGGGAACUGCGUCUGAUACUGGAUGGCUUGAGUUCGGGAGAGGGAUGUGGAAUUCCAGGUGUAGCGGUGAAAUGCGUAGAUAUCUGGAGGAACACCGGUGGCGAAGGCGGCAUCCUGGACCGACACUGACGCUGAUGAGCGAAAGCCAGGGGAGCAAACGGG
rnacentral:rRNA from 1 species